rnacentral:rRNA from 1 species
UACGUAGGCAGCAAGCGUUGUUCGGAGUUACUGGGCGUAAAGGGUGUGUAGGCGGUUUCUUAAGUUUGGUGUGAAAUCUCCCGGCUUAACUGGGAGGGUGCGCCGAAUACUGAGGGACUAGAGUACGGGAGAGGAAAGUGGAAUUCCUGGUGUAGCGGUGAAAUGCGUAGAUAUCAGGAGGAACACCGGUGGUGUAGACGGCUUUCUGGACCGUAACUGACGCUGAAACACGAAAGCGUGGGUAG